AUCAUUACAUCACCCAGGUAUUAAGCUCAGUCCCCAAUAGUUAUCUUUUCUGCUCCUCUUCCUCCUCCCACCCUCCCCACUCAAGUAGACUCCAGUGUCUGUUAUUUCCUUCUUUCUGUUCGUAAGCUCUUAUCAUUUAGCUCCCACUUAUAUGUAAGAACAUGUGGUGUUUGGUUUUCUGUUCCUGCGUUAGUUUGCUGAGGAUGAUAGGCUCCAGCUCCAUCCAUGUUCCCACAAAAGCCAUGAUCUUGUUCUUUUUUAUGGCUGCAUAAUAUUCCAUGGUGUAUAUGUACCACAUUUUCUUUAUCCAGUCUGUCAUUGACAGGCAUUUAGGUUGAUUCCAUGUCUUUGCUAUCGUGAACAGUGCUGCAGUGACCAUUCACGUGUAUGUGUCUUUAUGGUAAAAUGCUUUAUAUUCGUCUGGGUAUACACCCAGUAAUGGGAUUGCUGGGUUGAUGGUAGUUCUUCUUUUAGCUCAGAAAGGCAAUAUUCAAAGACAGGAGAAUAAACUGGGGUGAGAGAGAGAAGGAGUGAAGAAAGGAGAAAAGAAGAGAGAAGAGAGAGGAAGAGAAGGUUCUAUGGAGCUCUAAGUGUUCUAUCUGGUCUGCCCGAGUUAGUAGAGGGAUAAGAAUAAAGAAAAAAAAUGUUACUAUUCCUCUACGGCCCAUCACACACAUGGGUGAAUCAAAUGGGCAAAGCAAGAGUAGAAUUUUACACCACCAUGCCGUAAACCUGGAUUGUUUUGACUGUUGAGCAUCUCCUCUCUCUUUUCUAUUCUUUUUCUUUCUCUUUCUUUCUUUCUUUCCUUCUUUCUUUCUUUCUUUCUUUCUUUCUUUCUUUCUUUCUUUCUCUCUCUCUCUCUCUCUUUCUUUCUCGCUUUCUCUUUCUUUCUCUCUUUCUUUCUCUCUCUCUCUCUCUCUCCCUCUCUCUCUUCUUUUCUUUUCUUUUGAGACGGAGUUUCACUCUUGUUGCCCAGGCUGGAGUGCAGUGGCGCAAUCUCGGCUUACUGAAACCUCCACCUCCCGGGUUCAAGCGAUUAUCCUGCCUUAGCCUCCCAAGUAGCUGGGACUACAGGUGUGUGCUACCACACCCAGCUAAUUUUGUAUUUUUAGCAGAGAUGGGGUUUCACCAUGUUGGUCAGGCUGGUCUCGAACCCCUGACCUCAGAUAAUCCACCCACCUCAGCCUUCCAAAAUGCUGGGAUUACAGACGUAAGCCACUGCACCCGGCCUCACUUUCUUUUACCCACAUCAGUCCUGAUAAUUUCCAGUCCCAGCAUCCUGCCUUCUCCCUCACUCCCGUAGAAGGACUGGGCAAGUGACCAGGCCAAUCAGAGUUCCCCAAUAUCCUGGCCAUGUGGAUUGGUCCAGCUAUGGGCACGUGACCUUAGCUAAGCCAAUCACCUAUUCAGAAUGUUUUUUGUUCUUUAAUACAGAGCUGUGAGAGACAGGGUCUUGGCUUUUGAAUAAUGGGGCUGAAAGAAGUGAGUCAGGGACUGCCAGGGGCUGUCUCCUAUACCAUGAGGAGAAAUCUCGUCUAUAGGGAGAACGAGCCAAAAGAUGGAAAGUCAUUGAGAGGGAGAGGGAGAGGGACAUUGAAGUGGGGGAGAGAAAGAGAGAGACAUAAUAUAAUGUUGAGCUUUAAAUCAGCUCUAUCUAGACUUAGAAAAGCCAAUAACUUCCCACUUUUCUUGGACUGAUUUGAGUUGGUUUUUUGCUACUUUAGCCAAGUGGUCCCCGUGAUGGCUCCCCAUUUCUUUAGAUGAAAAUCCCAAGCCCUCACGUUGGCAUGCCAGGACACACCUGCCCUAGCCUCAAUGGCCUCAUCUCCCGUCCCUCUCGCCAUUGCUUACUCCGCUGCAGCCAUUCCUGCCUCCUUGCUUGUUCGUCAAACGUGCCAGGCCCUACUUCAUACGGAUUAAAUCAGACUUUUUGAGUGGGAUCAGGACAUUAGUAUUUUAUUUGUUUUUAAUUUAAUUUUAUGUUUUGAGACAGGGUCACUCUGUUGCCCAGGCUGGAGUGCAGUGGCACGAACACGGCUCGCUGCAGCCUCGACCUCCCAGGCUCAUGCGAUCCUUCUAAUACUCACCGUUAGCUGGGACCUCAGCCAGCCAGUUAACCAAAAUGUAUGCGUGUGGCCUCCCCAGGUGUUCUCUUCACAUGGGCUAGUUGGACUUCCUCACUACAUGGUGGCUGGUGUGCAAGAGUGAGUGGCUCCAGAAAGCAAGGAGGACAUGCCUAUGAUUUUUUAUGCUCUAGCCCUGGAAGUCAAAUAGCAUCUUUUCUGCUGUAAUCUUAAUCUUAAUGAUUGAGGCAGUUGCUAAGGUUCAAGUGGAAGGGAUCAUAGACUUCAUCACUCAACAUGAGAAAUAGAAGCUUACAACCACCUGUCCUCAGCCUCCCAAGUAGCUGGGACUACAAGCAUGUGCCACCAUGCCUGGCUAAUUUUUUGAAUUUUUUGGAGAGACAGAGUCUCACUAUGUUGCCCAGGUUGGUCUUGAAUUCCUGGGCUCAAGUGAUCCACCCGCCUUGGCCUCCCAAAGUGCUGGGAUUGCAGAUGUGAGCCACUGGGCCCGGCCGGUGACAUUGGUAUUUUUAAAAAGGUACUCAGUGAUUUCAAUGUGUAGCUAGAGCUGAGAAUCACUCCUUCAGACUAAUAAAGAAGGUCAAUGGCUAUUAAGGCAACUACCCUAAAGAAUUAACUUAAAGUCUAUGUGUAAGUUUGUCUCUUGUCAACAUAGAGUCUAGUUUCCUUCUAAUUUUGAUUAUAAAAUAGGAAAGCAUUUUCCUAUACUAUAAAAAAGUUUGCUUUAAGAGUCCCAGGACUGAUUUAUUAUGACCUUGAGAUUUAAAAACAUUUAUUAUUGGAAACCAUGUUUGUUUGAACCAUGUUUGUUUGAAUGUUUAUUGUAGAAAAGUCCAUUUUUCCUUUUAAAGUCAUAAACUAAAUUUGUUACAGGAGGUUGAUUUUGUGUUCCAAGCCUGUGAUCAUUAACUGUUUUCCAGCUCUACCAGCAUCCUGUCCAAGCCUUUAAGAUGAGGAACAAAUUCUAUGUGAGGAGAAAUGGCAAAAAUUGGUAUGCCUCUGCUUUUCUGAUUUCCCAUUCCCUUCCAUUUCUCUUAUUAACAAGUAAAAGUAAGGAAAUCCUGUCCUGUGGAUAACUUCCCAUUGACUUGCAGAGAGCUCAGACAUGCUAUGGUAGAUAUGGAUACUAUUUUGUUUUUGUUUUUUGAGAUGGAGUCUUGCUCAGUCACCCAGGCUGGAGUGCAGUGGCAUGAUCUCAGCCCACUGCAAACUCCGCCUCCCAGGUUCAAGUGAUUCUCCUGACUCAGCCUCCCGAGUAGCUGGGAUUACAAGCAGAUGCCACCACACCCAGCUAAUUUUUGUAUUUUUAGUAGAGACAAGGUUUAACCAUCUUUACUAAACAGACUAGGCCCGUCUUGAACUCCUGACUUCAAGUGAUCUGCCCGCCUCAGCCUCCCAACGUGCUGGGAUUAUAGGUGUGAGACACUGCACCUUGCCAAUGGUGAAUAUUGUUGAUUUAAAAUAAUAGAUAUAAUAAAUCUCCAAUCUCAGGGAAGUUUCCAAGUCCUAAAGUCAAAACUUCCGAUCUUGCCGUGUGCUUGAAUUAUCCUCAAUUAGAGUCCCUGCUGCUGUUGCAUGUCGCUGUAAUUAUUCUGUCAUCGUUAAUUCAAUGAAGCCUAUUAACCCACAUCAGAUAGUGUAUUUAUCUACAAUGCAUGUUACCUGCUCCUCUAGAUAAGACAGCUGUCAUACUUCAAGUCUGCUGUCUCUUUGUUGAGGUCCAGUAGUGUCAGUCUGCAAGUGUUUCAUGUUUCAUAUACAUUACAGAAUCCCCAUUAAUGGUUGAUAUGAUUAGGCUUUGUGUCCCCACCCAAAUCUCAUCUUGAAUUACAUUCCCUAUAAUCCCCACAUGUCAAGGGAGAGACCAGGUGGAGAUAAUUAAAUAAUGGGGGCAGUUUCCCCCACGCUGUUUUCAUGACAGUGAGUUCUCACGAGAUCUGAUGGUUUUAUAAGGAACGCUUCCCUCUUUGCUCGGCAUUUCUCCUUCCUGCUGCCUUGUGAAGAAGAUGCAUUGUUUUCCUCUUCACUUUCUGCCACAAUUGUAAGUUUCCUGAGGCCUCCCCAGCCAUGCUGAACUGUAAGUCAAUUAAACCUCUUUCCUUUAUAAAUUACACAGUCUCAGGCAGUUCUUUACAGCAGUAUGAAAAUGGAGUAAUACAAUGAUGUUCUUAUAACUUCCCAGACUGGAAGGCUUGCUGGUCUUGUGAGAUACUGAACUGGAGACAGCAGAAAAAUGCAUCCUCCUGAUAUUGUGAGCAACCUCCUCUCUUCUUCCCUCUCUCCUCUUCUUCCCUUUCUUCUGUUUUCCCUUCUAGGAGCCAAGAGCAUAGGCUCUGGAACCAGCCUGCCUGGUUUGAAUCAUGCCUCUGCCUGGGGAUCUUGGGCAGGUUGCUUGGUCUCUCUGAGCCUGUUUUUUUCAUCUGUGCAAGAAUCACAACUCUCUUGUGAGAAUUUAAUGUGCUAAUCUGCAUAAAGCACAUAGACAACUGUCUGGCUCAUGAUGGGAGUGUAACUGUGGUUAUUUCUUCCUAUUUUCUUCCCUCCCUUCCAACAGAAGAAAGUCUCUGAGAUGCGUGUCUUAUGUGGCAUAUGCUGGACUUGGUGCCUGGGGUUCAUUGGCAGACUAGUCCCUCUGGUACCUCCAGCAAGGAAGAUAGAUGUUAAUUAUUAAUUGAUACCCAUUGUGAUAAAUCUCACAAGGUACCAUGAAUGGGUAUAACAGCUCCCUUUCUGUGGAGGAGGUGGAGGUGAUAGGUAAGACUUCCUGGAGGAAGUAACAUUUGAACAGAGAUCUGAAAGAUAAAAUACUUCCAGGAGGAGUGUGUGUGUGUGUAAGUCAGUCAACAUCAGAACACCUCCAGCAGUGGAAACAGUGUAUAGGAAGCUCUGAAGUAGGAAGGAUCCUCUGUUAAUGGUUUUUUUGUUGUUGUUUUCCCUCUUCGAGACAGAGUCUCAGUCUGUUGCCCAGGCUGGAAUGCAGUGGCACAGUCUCAGCUCACUGCAACCUCUGCCUCCCAGGUUCAAGCGAUUCUCGUACUUCAGCCUCCUGAGUAGCUGGGAUUACAGGUAUGCACCACCAUGCCCCAAUCAUUUUGUAUUCUUAAUAGAGAUAGGGUUUCUCAAACUCCUGGCCUCAAGUGAUCCGCCUGCCUCAGCCUCCCAAAGUGCUGGGAUUACAAGUGUGAGCCACCAUGCCUGACCCAUUAAUGUUUUGAAUAGGUAAUACUUUCGCAUGGUCCAAAUUCCAAAAAAUACAAAAGGAUAAACAGUGAAAUGUCUCCCUUUUUCCAUUUACCACCUUCCCCCUACCUCUAUCCCUGAAGCAACAAAUGAACCAAUUUCUUUGGUAUUCUUCUAGAAAUAUCCUGUGCAUACAUAAGCAAAAUGUAUGUGUGUAUGGUGUAUAUACAUAUAUACACACACUAUAUAUAGUGUGUAUAUGUGUAUAUAUAUACUAUAUAUAGUGUGUAUAUAUAUACACUAUAGUGUGUAUAUGUAUAUAUACUAUAUAUAGUGUGUAUAUGUGUAUAUAUAUACUACAUAUAGUGUGUAUAUGUAUAUGUGUAUAUAUACACAUAUAUAUACUAUAUAUAGUGUGUAUAUGUAUAUGUGUAUAUAUAGUGUGUAUAGUUUAUGUAUAUACAUAUCCACACUAUAUAUAGUAUAUAUAUGAUAUUCACAUAUCAUCUUUUAUUUUUUAAUAUGAAAAAUGCUUCUCCGUUAUUUGCUUUUUUCACCUUUCUCUUAAAUACGUAUCUUGGAGAUCCUUCCUUAUGAGUACACAGUUAACUUUCUUAUUUUCUUUUCUGAGUGGCAGAGUACACCAUGUAGUACCCUAUAAUUUGUUUAAGCAACCUCCUACUGAUGGAUGUUUGGGUUAUUUCUACUCUUCUGCUAUUAUUUAAAAAAACUAUAAUCGAUAAUCUGAUACCGGUGCAAUUUGCUCCUGUGCAACUGUCUGUGGGAUAAAUUUCUAAAAGUGUAAUAGUUGGGUCAAAUGACACACUUUUCUCCACAGAGGUUGUAAAAAAUUUACACCCACCCCUCAAGGAAUGUUUGAGUUCCCAUAGUGGCAUCAAGCACCAUGUAUUAUUGAGUUCUUUUUAAUUUUGCCAAUCUGAUAGGUGAAAAUUCAUAUCUCAGCAUAGUUUUAAUUUGCAUUUAUCUUACUCUGAAUAACACAGAGCGUGUUUUCAUUUGCCCAAGAAUCACUUGUGUUUCUUUUCUUACGAACUGUUCUUAUCUUUUGUCCAUUUUUCUGUGAUGAAUCUGCUCUUUUGCUUAUUGAUUUUAUACAUUAGGGGAAUUAGCCAUUUUCCACGCCAUGCUUCA
rnacentral:lncRNA from 1 species